GGUUCCGUGGCCCAGUGGUUAGCGCGUUUGACUCGUAAGCAAGCGUUCCGGGUUCAAUCCCUGGCCGAGUCU
rfam:Nematostella vectensis strain CH2 x CH6 NEMVEscaffold_96_Cont12261, whole genome shotgun sequence.